GACCCAAAGUUAAUAUCUACCGGCGUAAAGAGUGCUUAAAUAUUUAUCAAAUAGAGCUAAGACUAGUCUUCGCUGUAAAAAGCCAAAGCCAAAGUAAAAAUCAAUAACGAAAGUAACUCUAAUUUUUGUAGCACUAAAGCUAUUACAUAAACUGGGAUUAGAUACCCCACUAUAAUUAGCCAUAAACAUAAGUAGUUCAUAACAUUACUACUCGCCAGAGAACUACAAGCCACCGCUUAAAACUCAAAGGACUUGGCGGUGCUUUAUAUCCACCUAGAGGAGCCUGUUCCAUAACCGAUGAUCCCCGAUUUACCUCACCACUCCUUGCUAAUUCAGCCUAUAUACCGCCAUCUUCAGUUAACCCUAAAAAGGAAAUAAAGUAAGCCUAAUCAGUAUUACUAAAGAAGUUAGGUCAAGGUGUAGCCCAUGGAGUGGAGCGAAAUGGGCUACAUUUUCUAUUACUAGAACAUUACGAAACUCUACGUGAAAUCCGUAGAAUAAAGGAGGAUUUAGUAGUAAAUUAAAACUAGAGUGUUUAAUUGAAUAGAGCAAUGAAGCACGCACACACCGCCCGUCACCCUCCUCAAUUUCUCAACAAUUAAAAGUACAUAACACUUAAUUACAAAAGAUUGAGAGGAGACAAGUCGUAACAAGGUAAGUGUACUGGAAAGUGCACUUGGAAAAAUC
rnacentral:ncRNA from 1 species